rnacentral:lncRNA from 1 species
GAAGGAGAUAAGUCUUGCCAUAGUACACCGAUAGCUUGAAUGUAUCUGGGUGAAGACAGCGAUGGGGAAGCAGACGACGUGAUGAUUCUAGCUCCGGCCGAAGAACGUCCUUCUCCUCCUUUUUAUUUUCAAACCCACUCCCCUCUGUUUUCUUGUUCUUUUCAGUUUGCCUAUUCUGCUUGAAUCCGUGGACAAAGACAAGUCUGGGUUUUGCUUGUUCUUUUCAGUUCUGCCUAUUCACGCUUGAAUCCAUGGACAAAGACAAGUCUGGGUUUUGCUUAUUCUGUUUUUCUCUGGAUUUUCUGGUUUAAUUGCUCUGUUUUUCUGGGGUUUUUCUCGGUUUUUUGGGUUGAUUUUCCUCCUCUUGCGUAUGGUUUUUAGUCUCUCAUUUAUAGAGAUCCCCAAGCUUGCCUCUAAUCAGUCCUGCCUUUGCAGGACUGUAUCCUCCAUGAACGAGAUCGUGUGCAAGGGACUCGGUCCACGAUUGAAUUUGUUGCAGAUUUUCAGGUCUCCGGUUGAAUCGGGAUGAAGAAGAUCACACGGUUGUUCCACCAACAACGACAGCGUUUUGGCAGCAAGGGAUUCUACCACCGACGACGCUGCUUCAAACAGCAAUGGACACUUCCAUUUUGAUCCAUGAACUUUAGAAAUUUGGCAAUUGGACCCUUAAGCAAAAUUAAAAAUUUCUUUUAAUUUUGCCCUUUUCUGGAUAAAUUUCAAUUAAAUCCCUCAAUUGGUGUAAUGUUUACAAAAUAGUCCUUAAUUCCUGGAUUAUUC